AUAACAGUCCCUUGUAGUCCCAAUGAGUGCCAGAGCAGAGGAGAUGCCAAUGCACCACAGCAAACAUGUAAGGCAAAUAACAAAAAUCCUACUCACCAUAUUUUAUCACUGAGCAGAAAUCCUCUCUCCUAGCCUUGCUACUGAGGCUGGUCUUUAUCCAGAGGCUCCUGUGAUGCUUUUCAGAUUCGGAGGGGCUGGACCACUGCUGCUCUCCACUGUUAUUCUCCACCCCCUGUCUUUCCCUCCUCCUCCUUCCUUCAUCUCCACCCCCUCAUUCCUCCUGCUUGUAGCUUUUUCAUACCCUACAGAGAUUCUAGGCUUCCACAUGUAGCUUGAUUUAGGAAAGAUGCUUAUUUCAGCCAUCUGCUUGGUAUCAUGGAAAUGCCUCCAUUUCUAAAGGGAAGAAAGCCCAGAAGUCCUAACCACGUUUCCUUCCAUACCGCUUCCUGUCUUCUCUUCGUCUCCUGCUUGUACAGCACAGGCAAACGCUUCCCAGUCGUGAGAGAAGAACUGGGCACAUUGUGCAGCCUGGGCCCUGUGGCCACCGCCGCUGUCUCUGUCUGAAUCUGGAGUUGAACCUGGUUUUCCCGAUCCACAGCUGGAGCCCUCCUGUCUGCUGAAUCACCGUCACAGCCCCGGCCUGGCUGCCGGUAUAUUCCAAUCUGUCUUUUCUACCCUUCUUUCCUCCCAUCUCUCUUACAGUAUUUCAUUCAUUUGACACUUUAUGAUCUCUGACCAUCUGUUUCCAUCCUCAUCAAAUCAUCAUCCUUCAAGGAAAUACCAUACCAAACCUCUCCUGCACCUCCUGGCUUGUUACAUGAGACGAAACGUGUCAGGAUAGGGAUGCAGAUGGACAGCUUUUGCUUUUGCCUGGCUGUAACAGUCCUUUGCAAUCGAUGUUGUAGAUCAUCAUGUGGUGGUGAGACAGGGCAGAAACAGAAGUUUUUAGGUGCCAGCCGCAACCAGAAUGAAAGGCAGCCUGAGAUGAAAGGAUGCUGUUAAGAGGCUGGUGGAUGUAUGUCUCUUCCCUGCUUUGAGCAGCUUUCUCUCUGGAGAAGGAGCUGUCUCCCUGGCUCAGAACAGGAACUGAGCCAGGAGUUCAGGCGUGUAAUGCUAGUUCUGCUCACAACUGCCUGUGAUCUUGAGCAAGAGUUUAACUUCAUCUGAUGGCUGAUAGUUUUUGAAAUUCCUUUAGAAAUAUUUGAAAUGUUCCUACAUAAAAUGCUUUAGAAAAGAAGACUGAUAUUUAAAAAAUAGCCCUUGUUUAGUAAGCCAUUUCUGCCAUUUCACAGAUGCAUUAUGAAAAGUAGGUAGGAGGGAGAGAUCAUUAAAUACGAGAAACAGUCUAGGAUGGCUUCUGUUGGUGUUCUGUAAACUCGUCCUUAAAUGACCACAUAAAUUAGCAGUUGUUGAUAUAAAUCCCAGGUAGUAUCUGCAGCCUGUCACAUGAAAACAGGUUAGUGGAUGAACUAUGCUGGUCCUUUCAGCACAGAAGAGGCAGAGUGACAGGGGAGGGAAACCUGUCUUGCUUUGCCUUGACAGGCUCACGAAAUGAAAAUGAAUG
rnacentral:lncRNA from 1 species